AUUGAACGCUGGCGGCAUGCUUUACACAUGCAAGUCGAACGGUAACAGGCCGCAAGGUGCUGACGAGUGGCGAACGGGUGAGUAAUGCAUCGGAACGUGCCCAGUCGUGGGGGAUAACGCAGCGAAAGCUGUGCUAAUACCGCAUACGAUCUAUGGAUGAAAGCGGGGGACCGUAAGGCCUCGCGCGAUUGGAGCGGCCGAUGUCAGAUUAGGUAGUUGGUGGGGUAAAGGCCUACCAAGCCGACGAUCUGUAGCUGGUCUGAGAGGACGACCAGCCACACUGGGACUGAGACACGGCCCAGACUCCUACGGGAGGCAGCAGUGGGGAAUUUUGGACAAUGGGCGCAAGCCUGAUCCAGCAAUGCCGCGUGCAGGAAGAAGGCCUUCGGGUUGUAAACUGCUUUUGUACGGAACGAAACGGUCUGGGUUAAUACCUUGGGCUAAUGACGGUACCGUAAGAAUAAGCACCGGCUAACUACGUGCCAGCCGCCGCGGUAAAAC
rnacentral:rRNA from 1 species